CAAUCUCCACCCCGGAGGAGCCAAGAACUCAGGGCCGCACUCCUCAGUGAGCCCCCAGAGAAAAGCAGUCAAUCACUCCCAUCUACCCGGUCUCCGGCUGCACUCCGUGUUCACCCAGCCUGUGACUGAGUGUUUCUAUCUCUGGCACCCGACCCUGUGUGGAGUCUCCAAACCCAGCAGAUCCCUGCAGUGCACUCCUGCACUGCUCCCCCCGGGGGAGGAAGGUAAGCUCUACACUGGACAUGGGGCUUGAACUCAUCAACCCAAGAUCAAGAAUCACAUGUUCUGACUGAGCCAGCCAGGCUCCCCUGAAGUUAUUUUAUAUUAUCUGUUUUAUAUUUCAAUGUCUGUAGGCUCUGAAGUGCUUUAAUUUUCUUUAUUGCUGAUACUGACAAUUUGGGCUUUCUCUCUGUUUUUCUUGAUUAAAAGUAUUUUAAUUAUAU